UGCCUAAUUGGGAAGAUGAAUGG
rnacentral:siRNA from 1 species